AAGCAGGGCCACUACAAACUGUGCCAACGGGCUAGUCAGUUAUUGUUUUUAGGAACUAUUUCCUUUUAUUGUAUCUUCCUUAGAUGUUUAUAUGAUGCUUUAUUAGAUGUUUGAGUAUUAUCAUAUGUAUUAAAUAACAUCACAACUAACAGUUUCUGUAGGUUUUGAUACAUCACAAAUAUAUAAAAUAAUAUUUAAUUAUGUUACAUAACCACAUGUUACAAACCGAAUGUCAAAUCAAACUAAUCGAGGACUAGCUAAUUUUGCUGUGAAUGACGUUUCAGCAACUCCAAUUGGUUUGACAUCCGUUUUAAAUCUAACAGCCGAUUAGUAGACCUAUACUUUGACAAACGUUUCAGAAACCGGGCGUAAACAACAAAUCUAACUUAAC